rnacentral:rRNA from 1 species
CCUACGGGAGGCAGCAGUGGGGAAUCUUGCGCAAUGGGCGAAAGCCUGACGCAGCCAUGCCGCGUGAAUGAUGAAGGUCUUAGGAUUGUAAAAUUCUUUCACCGGGGACGAUAAUGACGGUACCCGGAGAAGAAGCCCCGGCUAACUUCGUGCCAGCAGCCGCGGUAAUACGAAGGGGGCUAGCGUUGCUCGGAAUUACUGGGCGUAAAGGGAGCGUAGGCGGAUAGUUUAGUCAGAGGUGAAAGCCCAGGGCUCAACCUUGGAAUUGCCUUUGAUACUGGCUAUCUUGAGUUUGGGAGAGGUGAGUGGAACUCCGAGUGUAGAGGUGAAAUUCGUAGAUAUUCGGAAGAACACCAGUGGCGAAGGCGACUCACUGGCCCAAUACUGACGCUGAGGCUCGAAAGCGUGGGGAGCAAACAGGAUUAGAUACCCUGGUAGUCCACGCCGUAAACGAUGAGUGCUAGUUGUCGGCAUGCAUGCAUGUCGGUGACGCGAGCUACGCAUUAAGUACACUCCGCCGUCGGGGAGGUACGGUCGCGAGAAUUAAACUACAAGAAGUAGACGGCGNGAGACGUGCCGACGGACGACGACGAGGGAGGAGG